ncrna:unclassified sequences 6A RNA
AGAUAUGUUCGUAUAGUAGCGAUCAGGAUAAUCAAAAAAAAUACUAAAUUAAGA